GGGUUAUUAGUCCAAAUAAGACACUUGAUUUCGGCUCAAGAAAUUAAGGUUUAAAUCCUUAAUUACCCU
rnacentral:tRNA from 1 species